CUUUUCCCGCAUUGAAACCAGUGGUUUAACACAAAACACCAUUCUAACCGGAGAAAUACUUACAUAUUACUUACUGUCAAGCCUGGCACCUGUAGAGCUCGACUGUCAUUUAAGGUUAAUUAACACUAGGGAGUUCAUUUUGCUGAGAAAACGCAUUGCAACAGCUACCCAGCUGGCUCACUACAGACUACAAAUAUUAUGGUGUCAAAUCUUAUUGUCUGGUAAAGUUGAUUACGUUCCUUUUUGUCUAUUGUGUCACACCUGAGAGGUGGAAAGAAAAGCCGAAUAUUUGUCUUGAAAACAUUCAAGAUCCUUGCUAUAAAAGACAAUCAAUUAGAAGCAUAACUUAAUACGUGAGAUUCUUCAUCAAGUUAAAAGGGAUACUGUUUUCCAGUCCAAAACCACCCAACUACCGCUGCGAGUGAUGUCCCGUAUUGAGUCUGCAGCAACAAAGACCCUCUUUUCUGCACUGGCACUGGAGACGUCGUCCUGGCUAGUGCAAGGUCUGUGUCCUGGGACGGAGCAUUGCCAGCCAGCAAGACAUGAUUCAUGUGUCCUGGCAUGGUCUAGGAGCUGUUGCGAGCGCAGACGAAAUGCACUUGUGACCAGGCUGAAUCACAGCAGAACCUUGGGUCAAGCUGCUCCUGCUCAGUCAGUGCUGGACGUGCAAAACAGGUGUGAAACGUUAAACGAGGACUAUCCCAGUGAAAAUUCAGGUUUUUGUAUCUCCAUCUUCUGAGGCAAUUUCUUCAGCUGGUCUUCUGCUCAUCCCUCACCUUUACUAACACGAAGUCUAUCCUUCACAUUUCCCAUAAAACUGUACAAUACUCCCUCACUGCUCAUUAACUGAAAAGCUCUCUCUAUCAAUCUUUUGCAAUUUGAUCUAGUUCGACUGCUGUUCUCUCACUCUCUCUCUCUCUCUCCCUCUGACUAUUUCUUGCUCGCUCUCUCCCUCCCCCCUCCCUCCUGUGG